rnacentral:rRNA from 1 species
UAGUAACGGCGAGCGAACCGGGAAGAGCUCAAAUUUGUAAUCUGGCGCCCCUCGGGCUCAGAGUUGUAAUCUACAGAGGCGUUUUCCGUGCCGGCCCGUGCCCAACUUUGCUUGGAACAGUGAGAUCAAAGAGGGUGAAAAUCCCGUACUUGACACGACCGCCGGUGCUAUGUGAUACGUCUUCUAAGAGUCGAGUUGUUUGGGAAUGCAGCUCAAAACGGGUGGUAAAUUCCAUCUAAGGCUAAAUAUUGGCGAGAGACCGAUAGCGAACAAGUACCGUGAGGGAAAGAUGAAAAGCACUUUGGAAAGAGAGUUAAACAGCACGUGAAAUUGUUGAAAGGGAAACGAUUGAAGUCAGUCGUGUCCGAGGGGUUCAGCCGGUCCUGCCGGUGCAUUCCUCUCGGACGGGUCAACAUCGGUUUUGUCCGGCGGACAAGGGCAUGGGGAAAGUGGCACCUUUGGGUGUGUUAUAGCCCCGUGUCGCAUAC